UACGUAGGGGGCAAGCGUUGUCCGGAUUUAUUGGGCGUAAAGAGCGUGUAGGCGGCCAGGCAGGUCCGCUGUGAAAACUCGAGGCUCAACCUCGAGAGGUCGGUGGAAACCGUCUGGCUAGAGUCCGGAAGAGGAGAGUGGAAUUCCCGGUGUAGCGGUGAAAUGCGCAGAUAUCGGGAAGAACACCCGUGGCGAAGGCGGCUCUCUGGAACGCAACUGACGCUGAGACGCGAAAGCGUGGGGAGCAAACAGG
rnacentral:rRNA from 1 species